AUUUAUAUAGUUUAAAUAAAACAUUCCAUUUUCAUUGUAAAGUUAGAUCAAAUCUUAUAAAUA
rnacentral:tRNA from 1 species